rnacentral:tRNA from 1 species
GGGAAUAGUUCAAGGGUAGAGCGUCGGUCUCCAAAACCGUUAAUGAGGGUUCGAUUCCUUCUUCCC